AGGACUAACGCUGGCGGCGUGCCUAACGACAUGCAAGUCGAACGAGGGGUAGCAAUACCCCUAGUGGCAGACGGGUGAGUAACACGUAGUCAACCUACCUCUUAAUGGGGGAUAACUAGCCGAAAGGUUAGCUAAUACCGCAUACGAUCGUCGAGUGGCAUCACACGACGAUGAAAGGAGCAAUCCGUUGAGAGAGGGGACUGCGUCCCAUUAGUUAGUUGGUGGGGUAAUGGCCUACCAAGACUCCGAUGGGUAGCUGGCUUGAGAGAGCGACCAGCCACACUGGAACUGAGACACGGUCAAGACUCCUACGGGAGGCAGCAGUGAGGAAUUUUCCGCAAUGGGGGAAACCCUGACGGAGCGACGCCGCGUGUGGGAAGAAGGCCUUCGGGUCGUAAACCACUGUCGAGGGGGACGAUAUUGACGGUACCCCUGGAGGAAGCCCCGGCUAACUACGUGCCAGCAGCCGC
rnacentral:rRNA from 1 species